rnacentral:rRNA from 1 species
AGUAACGCGUGAGGAACCUGCCUCAAAGAGGGGGACAACAGUUGGAAACGACUGCUAAUACCGCAUAAGCCCACGGCUCGGCAUCGAGCAGAGGGAAAAGGAGUGAUCCGCUUUGAGAUGGCCUCGCGUCCGAUUAGCUAGUUGGUGAGGUAACGGCCCACCAAGGCGACGAUCGGUAGCCGGACUGAGAGGUUGAACGGCCACAUUGGGACUGAGACGCGGCCCAG